UACGAAGGGGGCUAGCGUUACUCGGAAUUAUUGGGCGUAAAGCGUGCGCAGGCGGUUUAGUAAGUUAGAAGUGAAAGCCUGAGGCUCAACCUCAGAAUUGCUUUUAAAACUGCUUCACUAGAGUGCUAGAGGGGAUAGCGGAAUUCUUAAUGUAGAGGUAAAAUUCAUAGAUAUUAGGAGGAACACCGGAAGCGAAGGCGGCUAUCUGGCUAGUAACUGACGCUGUUGCACGAAAGCGUGGGGAGCAAACAGG
rnacentral:rRNA from 1 species